AAUAAGCCUGGUGAUGGAGUCCACCGUUAUUUGCCUUAAAGGCUGAUGACUCCUACUUGAAU
rnacentral:ncRNA from 15 species